rnacentral:rRNA from 1 species
UACGGAAGGGCGAGCAGUGGGGGAAUAUUGCACAAUGGGCGCAAGCCUGAUGCAGCCAUGCCGCGUGUAUGAAGAAGGCCUUCGGGUUGUAAAGUACUUUCAGUCGUGAGGAAGGUGUUAAGGUUAAUAACCUUAGCAAUUGACGUUAGCGACAGAAGAAGCACCGGCUAACUCCGUGCCAGCAGCCGCGGUAAUACGGAGGGUGCGAGCGUUAAUCGGAAUUACUGGGCGUAAAGGGCACGCAGGCGGUUAAUUAAGUUGGAUGUGAAAUCCCCGGGCUUAACCUGGGAAUGGCAUUCAAGACUGGUUAGCUAGAGUCUUGUAGAGGGGGUAGAAUUCCAUGUGUAGCGGUGAAAUGCGUAGAGAUGUGGAGGAAUACCGGUGGCGAAGGCGGCCCCUGGACAAAGACUGACGCUCAUGUGCGAAAGCGUGGGGAGCAAACAGGGAUUAGAUACC